GCGGAGUUUAGGAUGCUGAGACGAGGCGAGCUGCUGGGAAGCAGGUGGAGACGGCGGAUGUUUACGCGAUGCGCUUCACUUAGGGAGGAUCAGAGGGAGAGAAUACAUCUGCCGUUGAUGAGAGACGCAGUAAGACAAAAAAAUAUAUAUAUAUAAUUUUAAAAAAUCCCGUUCGGGGGUCGUUCUGUGUCGAUUGGAGCUCCGCCGCAGAAAGAGGCUGACGGGCUGCGAGGCGAAGCGCUCCAUCUGUCUCCAUCGUGUCGCUGGAGGCUGCGGCGAGGUGAUGCUCCAUCUUUGGAUCGGCGGCCGGAGCCGUUUUUCCUGAAAGCCUGCUAUUAUGCAGGGAGCAAGGGAGACUGCGAGGAUUAAAGGGGAAAGAAGCACUGGUUUAGAAAACAUUUGGCACUCUGGCAGUGUGAGCCCACUAUGGUCGACCCCUCAGAUGUUGAGGAGCAGAAUAAGUGCAAAGGGCCACAACUUGACGCACCAACUGUGGCCGCUGAAGACUCUCGACUACCAGAACCGUCCGAUGACACGACAACUGAGGAGGAAGGCGACGCCGGUUUCGAGACGCCACCCACUGGCAGCUCGGAGCCCAGCCCCUGCCACACUGCGUCUCCGGUGGGGCCGCAGGUCAGCACGCAGGGGGCAGCACCUCAGCAACCACAGACUCAGACUGACGCAGAGUUGCCACCGAAACUUCACUUGGACCUGUACAACUUUGAUUCGCCCCAGGCGGAGGGCAGUCGUUAUGUGUUGACGAGCCCCCGCUCUCUGGAGGCAUGCGCUCGGUGCGGGGUCAAACCCGUGGAGCUGCUGCCUCGCCCGCUGGCCGACUUUGUCCGGGAGGCUCCGGGCCGGUCCAUGCGUGUCGCCACAGGUCUCUUCGAAGUCUAUGAGAAGGACAGACAUGGCAAACUCAGGCAGUGCAGGGAAGAGAGGGAGAGGAUCAUUAGGGAAGAGAAAAGACGGAUUCUGCAGGCAGCUGUCAACAGCAGCACGUCUUCAUCCUCUGUGGAUAAAGUCACAUCUGGGAUCGGUGUGCCUCCUAAACCUGACACAGUUUCCUCCAGCUCAGUUCCCAAUGUGGGAGUUCCCUCUAAACCUGCAGCAUCGGGUGCAACUAUCCUAUCGAAAGCCUCCACCUUUACUCUUAGUACCUCCCCAAAAUCCAUGCAACCUAGAACUACCCCACCUGCAAAGUCUGGGCCCAAAACAUCCCUUCCACCUUCUAAGGGUCUAUUUCAAGGAUCAGUCAAAGCUUCAGUGUCCUUAUCAUCCGAACAUACGAAAACCACACAUCCAGUUUCAUCCGAUCCCCCACCGGUGCUCAAGAAAUCUGCCGGUGGUAAAUCUUCCAACACUUUUCCCAGAUCAACACCGAAACCCCCCUCCUUUCCCAGAGCCAACUCGACGUUAACAUCAUCAGUGUCGAAGCCUGCCGUUCAGAACUCCAACCCACCUCUGAACGGAGUAACGAGAGGGCUGUUCUCUCAGCACAACGGACAUCUUGGAUUCCAGUCCAAGGCCCGAGGGAAAAGCCAUUCCCUGGAGUCUUUACAGAGGAGGAUGGAUCCCGUCUGCUGCUCAACCUCCACAACCACCACGACUACAUGCACCUCAUCAGAGUCCGGGGCGUCAUCUGCUUACAGCUGGGAUGGUGCACGAGAUCACUGGGCCAAAAUGUCAAGUCCUCGAGCUCGCACAAUGGCCACCUUCAACUCCCUGAUGGGUCGCAGCCUCAGCCUCGGAGACCUCAGCCACUCCCCUCAGACAACACAGAAGGUGGAGCGCAUUGUGAAGGAGGUGAAGCGUAGAGGACUCAAGGCCGUGUCCGAGCGCGACCGGAAGAUCGCAGCUCUGAUGCUCGCCAGAUAUCAAGAGGAAGACAUCAUGAGCCAGACCCGCUACGUCGCUCACCUUCAGUGGGACAGCGAGCGCCGGAUGGAGGAGCUGCGGCGGGAGCAAGAGGACAGGGAGAAGCAGCGGGCGGUGCUCCAGUGCCAGCGAGUGUGGCAGACCCAGGUGUCGAUACGUCAGCAGAAGAUCUGCCGGCAGGAGCGCGACUCAGCCGCUGCCAAACUACGGCAGGCCGAGGAGCACGAAGAGCGCUGGAAGGAGCUGGCAGAGCAGCAGGAGCGCAGCCGUCUGCUGAGGCUGCAGCAGGCGGCGAGAGAAGAGAAGCACAAGAAAGCUCUACAGGAACAGAACCUGAAGGCCCUGGAAGAGGAGAGGGCUGCAGUGCUGGAGCAAGAGAGACUGCUCCUGGAGGAGAAGCUUACUAUAGCUGAGCUGAAGAGACAGGAGCGGGAGCACCAGGCCCAUGAGGAGAGGCGAGGUCUGAAUAAAGCAGAGAGGAGGCGUCACGCCGCCCUCAUACAAGAAAUCGCCCGUAGAGAACAGGAAGAGAGGGAUGAAGCUAAGAGGGCGGCAGAGGAGAAGCUCAACCGCUCCCUUGAGAACUACGAGCAGAUAGUCGAACGCCGGGGGCAGGAACUGAAGGAGAAGGCCAAGCGUGAGGAGAAACAGAUCCAGAAGGCUCGCAAGGCAGCGGAGAAACGCGAGAAGCAGCAGCAGCAGGUCCUGGAGGCCCGCGUGAAGGAGGCCGCCAAGCGAGCCCAGCAGGCCGCCAUGUUGGCCGAGGAGAAGGCCAAGGAGAAAGCCAAGCGGGCCGUCCAGAGUCGGCAGGAGAAGGAGAGACUCCAGAAGCUCAACAGGCAACGGGUGGAGGAGGAGGAGAAGCAGAGGCGCCUGGAGCUCCUGCAGUCCAUCGAGAGGAAGCUGGAGAAAAGCGAGCAGAUCUUCAGGGAGAAGAAGGCAGUGCUGGAGAGCGCCCGCUCCGUGGCCCGGGCGUCCUUUCACGUGCGGGACAAAGUGCGGGAGGAGACCAACACGCGCACUUUUGACAAGAUGGCCCUGGAAGCGCAGCUCAAAGCGAGUCUCGAUGAAAAGUAAACCCACGGCUUCGGCGCAAACCGCCGGUCACAUCAUCGGCUCUUGACCUUCGUCACUCCACAUGUUGCCCUUCUUCCAAACAACACAAGUGAUAUUUUUACAUUACAUAUCAUUACCCAUCAGCAGUUUUAUUAUACUUUUCCCAUGAAAGUGAAAGUGAACAAAUCCAGAUUUGUAUUAUUGCCGUAUUAGGGAAGUAAACCAUAUCAGUAGCUAUUUCUCAACAGUGAAGCCCUUUAGUCAGAUGAAGCCAGCUUCAUGUUUAGAGUGGACAGAACAAUUUUCUUUUUGUGGCAACACAAACCGCUCUGUCUCUCUCUCUCUCUCUCUCUGUCUUUUUGCCCUUAGCUGCGUCUUAUUUCAGCCACUGGACUGGAAGCUGUGCUGGACUGAAAGAGUCAUUGUUUAUCUGGAAGCACAACUUCACAACAGCUGCGGGGGCUUUCAAGGGAACACUCCUGUUAGUGGGAAAGCAAGCCCGAGGAAAAGGCUAAACACAAAUGGUUCCCGGCCCGCGCGAAUAAACGACAGCCCCUCCCGCCUUUUUUUUUGUACAAACGCAGACAGUUUGAAAGUCGAGCCCGAGAACGGAAGCUUGUCCGUCCUUUUGGCGCUGACGGUAGAUAUCGCACCACAAGCUUUCCUCCUUCAAAUUCCCUUCAGGAACUCUCUGUUUUAUUUCCCGUUGGUGUUAAAGUGCAGUCAGCACUAAAGCUCUCCGAGAGAAGACCUUCCCUCGACUCCCCGUGCCAUCCUCCUGCUUCCAACAGAGCGUCAUGGCGACCGUCUCCCAGUCGACAGGUCCCAGAGGUGAUUGAGAGCAGAUGACUGAACCAAGCCUGAGCUUUCUGCACAACAAGCACUUCUCCUCUGUGAAAUGUACCUAUAGGAAAGCUGUUUACACUCGGGGUUUUUUCAUCCGCAAUUCCCAUCGUCAACAGGCUGCUGAGAGAAUUCGUUUCUGCAUCAACGAAUCAAAUGUACGCGGUUCAAAAACAGCUUUAUUCAUACCAAGGCGUGCUGAUCAAUCUGUUCAUGUUUUUGGUCCUUCUAACCUUCUUAUCUUAAAUGUUGGCUUUCCCCCCAGGUUUUCUGGUUAUUUAAUGGGUUUUUUUUUCUUUUCUCUCUCUUUAAACUACUGUUGUAUCAGAAAAGGUUUGAGAUGUAGCAAUAACGAAACGGUUCAGGGCGACAGCGGACGCUGUUCUCGUACACGCAAGCAAAGCCGGACAAAUAAACAGAUCUUCAAGGUGGAAUUAACUUAUCUGUCCUGUCUACUUCAUUUCUCUAUGAUAUCAUGUGAUUUUUGCAAUAAAAUGUUUCAAGCCCUGUUGGCGUGCUGA